rnacentral:lncRNA from 1 species
CCUAUCGUGAAGCAGAUGGGAUCAUUUUCUUCUAUACAGUUUCUGCAAUUCCAUCUCACUCUUAUUUUAGCACAUAAUUAGGUGUCAAGCAUUCUGAGCAGGUUAUACAGAAGAAUAUAUACACCGGUGAUUUGAAUAGGUUUUAUGUAUUCUAGCUAUCAAGACACACUAACCUUUAAUCAUAACAAGGCCUGAAGUCAGAAGAAACUUGGUGAGAGGUUCAAAAUCCUUGGCUUGCCACCCUCAUAAGUCCAUCAUUCCCAUUUGCUGCUUCCAGGCUGUGACUCAAUAGCUAGUCUUAUGAGACUGAGAUGAAACAGUAAGAUAGUUGUAAAUAAAUCAUUACACCCAAAAUGUUUUAUUUUCAGAACGCAAUGGUCCUGGCAACAAAAAGAUUUACUUCCAAUGAAUCACUGGCAGAUCAUAUGGGUAUUCCUGGCCUGGGGCUCAUCAUCUGAGAGGCAGAAGAGUGAUCUGGAGGUAAAAUGGCUAAACAGAA